rnacentral:rRNA from 1 species
UAAGGGAUAUUGCGCAAUGGGCGCAAGCCUGACGACACAACGCCGCGUGGAGGAUGAAGAUCUUCGGGUCGUAAACUCCUGUCGAGUGGGAAGAAUAGUUUCCGGGCGAAUAUCCCGGGAGCCUGACGGUACCACUAAAGGAAGCCCCGGCUAACUCCGUGCCAGCCGCCGCGGUAAUACGGGGGGGGCAAGCGUUGUUCGGAAUUACUGGGCGUAAAGGGCUCGUAGGCGGCCAACUAAGUCGGAUGUGAAAUCCCCAGGCUCAACCUGGGAACUGCAUCCGAUACUGGAUGGCUUGAAUUCGGGAGAGGGAUGCAGAAUUCCAGGUGUAGCGGUGAAAUGCGUAGAUAUCUGGAGGAAUACCGGUGGCGAAGGCGGCAUCCUGGACCGACAUUGACGCUGAGGAGCGAAAGCUAGGGGAGCAAA